GUGUUGUAUGAAAGGUUAGCCCUCCCCUUGACAAGGAUAGAAGAGGCCCUGGGGCCUGACAACACACAGAGUUCCUGGCAUCUCACUAUGUUUGUAUCUUCUUCUCACUGUAUUCUAAACAAUUUUUUUU
ensembl:snRNA